AGAGUUUGAUCCUGGCUCAGAUUGAACGCUGGCGGCAUGGUUAAAGCAUGCAAGUCGAACGCGAAAGUCACUUCGGUGGCGAGUAGAGUGGCGGAAGGGCGAGGAAUGUAUUUCUAACGUGCCCCAAGGUAAAGGAUAGCAUCGGGAAACUGAUGGUAAUACUUUAUAACCCCGUAAGAACGUAUGUUCUAUCGGGUAAAGGCUUGCUGCCUUGGGAUCGGGAAAUAUGGUAUCAGCUAGUUGGUAAGGUAAUGGCUUACCAAGGCUAAGACGCCUAGCGGGUGUGAGAGCACGACCCGCCGCAUCGGGACUGAGACACUGCCCGGACUCCUACGGGAGGCUGCAGCGACGAAUAUUCCGCAAUGGGCGAAAGCCUGACGGAGCAAUGCCGCGUGUGGGAUGAAGCACCUUGGUGUGUAAACCACUGUCAGAGACUACUAACACAAUGAAGAAUCUCAAAGGAAGGGCCGGCUAACUUCGUGCCAGCAGCCGCGGUAAUACGAAGGGCCCGAGCGUUAAUCGGAAUCACUGGGCUUAAAGGGUGUGUAGGCGGUUAUGUAAGUAUCUUGUGAAAUCCCAGGGCUCAACCCUGGAACUGCUGGGUAUACUGUAUAACUUGAGGUCGGUAGGGGCAGCUGGAACAAUAGGUGGAGCGGUGAAAUGCGUAGAUAUCUAUUGGAACGCCAAAGGCGAAGGCAAGCUGCUGGGCCGAAUCUGACGCUGAGACACGAAAGCAUGGGUAGCGAACGGGAUUAGAUACCCCGGUAGUCCAUGCCGUAAACGAUGUACACUAGUUCGAGAGGGCUCUGACGCCAGCUUGGACGAAGCUAAAGUGUUUAGUGUACCGCCUGGGGAGUACGGUCGCAAGACUAAAACUCAAAGGAAUUGACGGGGGCUCACACAAGCGGUGGAGCAUGUGGCUUAAUUCGAGUCAACGCGAAGAACCUUAUCCAGGGUUUGACAUGUAUGGAUUAACUUUCCGAAAGGAGAGCCACACUCUUUGAGUGGAACAUACACAGGUGCUGCAUGGCUGUCGUCAGCUCGUGCUGUGAAGUGUCGGGUUAAGUCCCUUAACGAGCGAAACCCCUAUCGUUAGUUGCUAACAGGUAAUGCUGAGGACUCUAGCGAGACUGCCGGUGUUAAACCGGAGGAAGGUGGGGAUGACGUCAAGUCCUCAUGGCCUUUAUGCCCUGGGCUGCACACGUGCUACAAUGCGGCGUACAGAGCGAAGCGAUACGGUAACGUGGAGCAAAUCGCAAAAAAACGCCGCCCAGUUCAGAUUGUGGUCUGCAACUCGACCACAUGAAGUCGGAAUCGCUAGUAAUCGCGUAUCAGCUACGACGCGGUGAAUAUGUUCCUGAGCCUUGUACACACCGCCCGUCAAGUCAUGGGAGCUGGAGGGACCCAAAGUCGCCACAAUUCAGUGGUGCCUACGGUCAAUUCGGUGACUGGGACUAAGUCGAAACAAGGUA
rnacentral:rRNA from 1 species